rnacentral:rRNA from 1 species
GACGAACGCUGGCGGCGUGCUUAACACAUGCAAGUCGAACGGAAAGGCCCUGCUUUUGUGGGGUGCUCGAGUGGCGAACGGGUGAGUAACACGUGAGUAACCUGCCCUUGACUUUGGGAUAACUUCAGGAAACUGGGGCUAAUACCGGAUAGGAGCUCCUGCUGUAUGGUGGGGGUUGGAAAGUUUCGGCGGUUGGGGAUGGACUCGCGGCUUAUAAGCUUGUUGGUGGGGUAGUGGCUUACCAAGGCUUUGACGGGUAGCCGGCCUGAGAGGGUGACCGGCCACAUUGGGACUGGGAUGCGGCACAGACUCCAACGCGAGGCAGCGGUGGAGAAUAGUGCACAAUGGGCGGAAGCCUGAUGCAGCAACGCCGCGUGCGGGAUGACGGCCUUCGGGUUGUAAACCGCUUUCGCCUGUGACGAAGCGUGAGUGACAGUAAUGGGUAAAGAAGCACCGGCUAACUACGUG